rfam:Brevibacillus parabrevis strain CN1 contig_5, whole genome shotgun sequence.
GAACGCCGUGUGCGAUGAAAGUCGCCUGCACGGUGUAGGCUCGUUAUAAACCAUAGAGAGAUAUAGGGAUAAGACGAGAAUAGCGAACCAAAUAUCAGCAUCUAUCAUCUUUAU